GGAUGAACGCUAGCGCAGGCCUAACACAUGCAAGUCAGGGGCAGCACAAGGAGCAAUCUGAGGUGGCGACCGGCGCACGGGUGAGUAACACGUAUGCAACCUGCCUGUAAGCGGGGAAUAACCCGUUGAAAGACGGACUAAUACCGCAUAAUACUAAAUUACUGCAUGGUAAUUUAUUUAAACAUUUUAUGGCUUACAGAUGGGCAUGCGCAUGAUUAGCUAGUUGGAGAGGUAACGGCUCCCCAAGGCAACGAUCAUUAGGGGUUCUGAGAGGAAGGUCCCCCACACUGGUACUGAGACACGGACCAGACUCCUACGGGAGGCAGCAGUGAGGAAUAUUGGUCAAUGGACGAGAGUCUGAACCAGCCAAGUCGCGUGCAGGAAGAAUGUCCUUAAUGGAUUGUAAACUGCUUUUGCAGGGGAAUAAAGUGCAUCACGUGUGAUGUUUUGUAUGUACUCUGCGAAUAAGGAUCGGCUAACUCCGUGCCAGCCGCAGC
rnacentral:rRNA from 1 species